AGGACGAACGCUGGCGGCGUGCUUAACACAUGCAAGUCGAACGGGGUCCAACCAGUGGCAACACUGGGGAAGAUCUAGUGGCGAACGGGUGAGUAACACGUGAGCAACCUGCCCCGAAGACCGGGAUAACAGCGGGAAACCGCUGCUAAUACCGGAUACCCCCCACCGGGCCGCAUGACCUGGUGAGGAAAUGGAUUCCGCUUCGGGAGGGACUCGCGGCCUAUCAGCUUGUUGGUGGGGUAAUGGCCUACCAAGGCGUCGACGGGUAGCUGGUCUGAGAGGACGAUCAGCCACACUGGGACUGAGACACGGCCCAGACUCCUACGGGAGGCAGCAGUGGGGGAAUCUUGCGCAAUGGGCGAAAGCCUGACGCAGCAACGCCGCGUGAGGGACGAAGGCCUUCGGGUUGUAAACCUCUUUCAGCAGGGACGAUUGUGACGGUACCUGCAGAAGAGCCCGGCAACUACGCGCCAGCAGCCGCGGUAA
rnacentral:rRNA from 1 species